rnacentral:rRNA from 1 species
GAUGAACGCUGGCGGCGUGCCUAAUACAUGCAAGUAGAACGCUGAAGGAAGGAGCUUGCUCUUUCCGGAUGAGUUGCGAACGGGUGAGUAACGCGUAGGUAACCUGCCUGGUAGCGGGGGAUAACUAUUGGAAACGAUAGCUAAUACCGCAUAACAGUAGAUGUUGCAUGAUACAUACUUAAAAGGUGCAAUUGCACCACUAACAGAUGGACCUGCGUUGUAUUAGCUAGUUGGUGAGGUAACGGCUCACCAAGGGGACGAUACAUAGCCGACCUGAGAGGGUGGACGGCCACACUGGGACCGAGACAACGCCCAGACUCCUUCGGGAAGCAGCAGUAGGGGAACAUCGGAAAUGGACGGAAGUCUGAACGAAGAACGCCGGGUGAGUGAAGGAGGUUCUCGAAGCGUAAAACUCUGUUGUAAGGGAAGAACAAGUGUGAGAGUGGAAAGUUCACACUGUGACGGUACCUUACCAGAAAGGGACGGCUAACUACGUG